rnacentral:rRNA from 1 species
UACAGAGGGUGCGAGCGUUGUCCGGAAUCACUGGGCGUAAAGGGCGCGUAGGCGGCUUUAUAAGGUUGCGGUGAAAGCCCGGGGCUCAACCCCGGGUCGGCCGUGGCAACUGUCGAGCUGGAGCACUGUAGAGGCAGGUGGAAUUCCGGGUGUAGCGGUGGAAUGCGUAGAGAUCCGGAAGAACACCGGUGGCGAAGGCGGCCUGCUGGGCAGUGGCUGACGCUGAGGCGCGACAGCGUGGGGAGCAAACAGG